rnacentral:misc_RNA from 1 species
CCCGCCUUAACUGGCCGCCGGGGGGCUUACGCCCCCGGGCCCGCGCCCGCCGAAGACACCCUCGAACUCUGUCUGAAGAUUGUAGUCUGAGUGAAAAUAUAAAUUAUUUAAAACUUUCAACAACGGAUCUCUUGGUUCCGGCAUCGAUGAAGAACGCAGCGAAAUGCGAUACGUAAUGUGAAUUGCAAAUUCAGUGAAUCAUCGAGUCUUUGAACGCACAUUGCGCCCCCUGGUAUUCCGGGGGGCAUGCCUGUCCGAGCGUCAUUUCUGCCCUCAAGCACGGCUUGUGUGUUGGGCCCCGUCCUCCGAUCCCGGGGGACGGGCCCGAAAGGCAGCGGCGGCACCGCGUCCGGUCCUCGAGCGUAUGGGGCUUUGUCACCCGCUCUGUAGGCCCGGCCGGCGCUUGCCGAUCAACCCAAAUUUUUAUCCAGGUUGACCUCGGAUCAGGUAGGGAUACCCGCUGAACUUAAGCAUAUCAAUAAGCGGAGGAAA